rnacentral:lncRNA from 1 species
UUGCAUACAGACUAUCUCAAUAACAAAAAAAUAUCUCUAAACAUUCAUUUACUAAAACAUACUUAUGAAAGAAAUAAUUGAAGCAUACUUGAAAAAGUUUUAAAAGUUUGAGCAAUUUAUUUACCUUACCCCCUUUAAAAAGAAGUAAUGUCCUCAUUGCAAGAACAAAAUAAUGAAUGAAAAUUGAACACCAGUAAAAAAAUGGAGGUGAGUCAUUAAGACUACUUAAAUACCAAGUCUU